rnacentral:rRNA from 1 species
CGGGACGGGUGAGUAACGCGUGGGCAACCUGCCCUGUACUGGGGGAUAACACCUGGAAACAGGUGCUAAUACCGCAUAAGCGCGCAGUGCCGCAUGGCACGGCGCGGAAAACCCCGGUGGUACAGGAUGGGCCCGCGUCUGAUUAGCUGGUUGGCAGGGUAACGGCCUACCAAGGCGACGAUCAGUAGCCGGCCUGAGAGGGUGGACGGCCACACUGGGACUGAGACACGGCCCAGACUCCUACGGGAGGCAGCAG